rnacentral:tRNA from 3 species
UGCCGAGUUAGCUCAGUAGGUAGAGCAAAGGACUGAAAAUCCUUGUGUCUAGGGUUCGAUUCCCUGACUCGGCACAUU